AGAGUUUGAUCCUGGCUCAGGAUGAACGCUGGCGGCGUGCUUAACACAUGCAAGUCGAACGGGAAUGCCACGCUGAUGCGAUUUCGGUCAAAUCAUGUGGCAUUCGAGUGGCGGACGGGUGAGUAACGCGUGGGUAACCUGCCUUACACAGGGGGAUAACACCUGGAAACAGGUGCUAAUACCGCAUAAGCGCACAGGGCCGCAUGGCCCGGUGUGAAAAACUCCGGUGGUGUAAGAUGGACCCGCGUCUGAUUAGCUUGUUGGCGGGGUAGGGGCCCACCAAGGCGACGAUCAGUAGCCGGCCUGAGAGGGUGGACGGCCACAUUGGGACUGAGACACGGCCCAAACUCCUACGGGAGGCAGCAGUGGGGGAUAUUGGACAAUGGGGGAAACCCUGAUCCAGCGACGCCGCGUGAGUGAAGAAGUAUUUCGGUAUGUAAAGCUCUGUCAGCAGGGAAGAAAGAAAUGACGGUACCUGACCAAGAAGCCCCGGCUAACUACGUGCCAGCAGCCGCGGUAAUACGUAGGGGGCAAGCGUUAUCCGGAAUUACUGGGUGUAAAGGGAGCGUAGACGGUGAUGCAAGUCUGGAGUGAAAGGCGGGGGCCCAACCCCCCGGACUGCUCUGGAAACUGUGUAACUUGAGUGCAGGAGGGGUAAGCGGAAUUCCUAGUGUAGCGGUGAAAUGCGUAGAUAUUAGGAGGAACACCAGUGGCCAAGGCGGCUUACUGGACUGUAACUGACGUUGAGGCUCGAAAGCGUGGGGAGCAAACAAAAAAAGAUACCCUGGUAGUCCACGCCGUAAA
rnacentral:rRNA from 1 species